rnacentral:misc_RNA from 1 species
AAGUCGUAACAAGGUAACCGUAGGUGAACCUGCGGUUGGAUCAUUACUGAAUACUCAUCCGGGAUUUUCCCGGACAGGCUUUUCGGAGUUUUGUCCGGGCGAUCCCCUAUGAUAUUACACCCCCUUGUGAAUUGUUACCGUAUUUUUGGCAGCCGUCCAAUUCCCAAUUUUUUUUUGGGUUUUUUCGGCUAUCAGCUUUAAAAAAAUAAAAACACCAUGGAACUUUUUCAUCGCGUCUCCUAGCAAAUACCUAAUGGGUUUUGCAUAUUAUAAGUAAAUAGUAAACAACUUUUGACAACGGAUCUCUUGGCUCUC